rnacentral:rRNA from 1 species
GAUGAACGCUGGCGGCGUGCCUAAUACAUGCAAGUCGAGCGAACAGACGAGGAGCUUGCUCCUCUGACGUUAGCGGCGGACGGGUGAGUAACACGUGGAUAACCUACCUAUAAGACUGGGAUAACUUCGGGAAACCGGAGCUAAUACCGGAUAAUAUAUUGAACCGCAUGGUUCAAUAGUGAAAGACGGUUUUGCUGUCACUUAUAGAUGGAUCCGCGCCGCAUUAGCUAGUUGGUAAGGUAACGGCUUACCAAGGCAACGAUGCGUAGCCGACCUGAGAGGGUGAUCGGCCACACUGGAACUGAGACACGGUCCAGACUCCUACGGGAGGCAGCAGUAGGGAAUCUUCCGCAAUGGGCGAAAGCCUGACGGAGCAACGCCGCGUGAGUGAUGAAGGUCUUCGGAUCGUAAAACUCUGUUAUUAGGGAAGAACAAAUGUGUAAGUAACUAAGCACGGCUUGACGGUACCUAAUCAGAAAGCCACGGCUAACUACGUG